rnacentral:rRNA from 1 species
GAUGAACGCUGGCGGCGUGCCUAAUACAUGCAAGUCGAGCGAACAGACGAGGAGCUUGCUCCUCUGACGUUAGCGGCGGACGGGUGAGUAACACGUGGAUAACCUACCUAUAAGACUGGGAUAACUUCGGGAAACCGGAGCUAAUACCGGAUAAUAUAUUGAACCGCAUGGUUCAAUAGUGAAAGACGGUUUUGCUGUCCCUUAUAGAUGGAUCCGCGCCGCAUUAGCUAGUUGGUAAGGUAACGGCUUACCAAGGCAACGAUGCGUAGCCGACCUGAGAGGGGGAUCGGCCACACGGGAACUGAGACACGGUCCAGACUCCUACGGGAGGCAGCAGUAGGGAAUCUUCCGCAAUGGGCGAAAGCCUGACGGAGCAACGCCGCGUGAGUGAUGAAGGUCUUCGGAUCGUAAAACUCUGUUAUUAGGGAAGAACAAAUGUGUAAGUAACUAUGCACGUCUUGACGGUACCUAAUCAGAAAGCCACGGCUAACUACGUG